rnacentral:rRNA from 1 species
CCCUUAGAUGUUCUGGGCCGCACGCGUGCUACACUGAGUGGAUCAGCGGGUCAGGUUGCGCGAAAGCGUUUCCUAAUCUUUAAAUCCGCUCGUGAUGGGGAUUGACGGCUGCAAUUUUCUGUCAUGAACGAGGAAUACCUUGUAAGCGCGGGUCAUCAUCCCGCGCUGAAUACGUCCCUGCCCUUUGUACACACCGCCCGUCGCACCUACCGAUUGAAUGAUCCGGUGAAGCCUCGGGAUUGUGCCCAGAGGACUUUAUUGUGAUUUGGGUGUGAGAACUUGUCUAAACCUUAUCAUUUAGAGGAAGGUGAAGUCGUAACA